GAGAGCGGACAGCGGAACUAAUCAGCAUAUACUCGGCGGCGCUCGUUGUUGUUCGAACUUCUAGAGAAGCGGAUGAGUUUCAUGGUUCUUUAAUGACGUGCAGUUCAGGUGUGUUUCAUAUGCCUGUUUAAGGUUAUGGUGGGUUGUUCGUCGUCAUUGUCGUUCACUGAACGUUUUAAUCAGAAGUCCGGUUCAACAUACGACUGCUGAGUGACUAUAAACUUACUGCAUGCUGCUGUUUUGCUUAACUUCACGGAUAUAUGACUGCUGAGUGACUACAAACUUACUGCAUACUGCUGUUUUGCUUAACUUCACGGAUAUACGACUGCUGAGUGACCAUAAACUUACUGCAGGCUGCUGUUUUGCUUAACUUCACUGAUAUACGAGCGCUGAGCGACCACAAACUUACUAGCCCAUGUGCUGCUCUACUGUGUAGCCUUAUUGACUAGCGUCAUUGCGACAUCUCCGACCUCGACGGCACCAGGAACGUUAACUUUUCUCUUCCAUUCUAGGAGAAUUGGUGCGGAUGUUUCCAUUACUGUGAUCAAGGUUACCCGCUAAAGCCAUGGCUAAUGACCCCCCUAACCAACCCGAGGACCGAGCAGGAACAGGCGUACAACCGUGCCCAUGCGCGCUCAAGGAGCACAGUUGAGCGUACAAUAGGCCUGCUGAAAGGACGAUGGCUGUGUCUGUCAAGCACGGGAGAGACACUGAAGUAUCACCCAGAAAAAGCAUGCAAAAUCAUCAUGGCUUGCAGUGUGCUACACAACUUGGCCAUCAGACAGGGCAUCCCUCUGCAGGAACCCCCAAGACCAGACGGCCCUAUGCCCGAUGCAGUGCCCCUGCCACCUCCUAAUGCCGCUGGCAUUCAGACAAGACAGAGGAUCAUACAGACAUUUUAGCACCGCCUCACUCAGCACUCUUGGCGCACGGCCCAUGGAAGGGGCAAUGAAUGGGCCCGGCUCCUUCAAGCUCCUCAGUCACAACGGGUGUCGCUAUUAAGGAAACACAUGUUCACAUUAAUUUAAUUGAGUUUAUCCUAUGAAUGAUUUCAUUAAAAGUUUACA